rnacentral:rRNA from 1 species
UACGGAGGGUGCAAGCGUUAUCCGGAUUCACUGGGUUUAAAGGGUGCGUAGGUGGGCAAGUAAGUCAGUGGUGAAAUCUCCGGGCUUAACCCGGAAACUGCCAUUGAUACUAUUUGCCUUGAAUACUGUGGAGGUCAGCGGAAUAUGUCAUGUAGCGGUGAAAUGCUUAGAUAUGACAUAGAACACCAAUUGCGAAGGCAGCUGGCUACACAAAUAUUGACACUGAGGCACGAAAGCGUGGGGAUCAAACAGG